rnacentral:rRNA from 1 species
UACGAAGGGGGCUAGCGUUGCUCGGAAUGACUGGGCGUAAAGGGCGCGUAGGCGGAUGGCACAGUCAGAUGUGAAAUUCCCGGGCUUAACCUGGGGGCUGCAUUUGAUACGUGUUGUCUUGAGUUCGGAAGAGGGUAGUGGAAUUCCCAGUGUAGAGGUGAAAUUCGUAGAUAUUGGGAAGAACACCGGUGGCGAAGGCGGCGACCUGGUCCGACACUGACGCUGAGGCGCGAAAGCGUGGGGAGCAAACAGG